CUCUAUUCCGAAAUUGUAAGGAAAAGUAUAGUAUGGAUAUUUGUACACAAAUAUUACAUAUUUUAUUAUUGUACAAUCUAACGACAAUAGUCUUCAUUUCUUGAAUAGGUAUAGUAUAAGACCGUAAUUCAUACAUGUAGUAGUAUAGGUAAUAUAGAUAAUGUAGUUUGAUUUUCGAUUAAAAUUUGUGGAUAUUAUACCAAUUGGUGCAAAUAGGGAGGGAUUGUGGAUUUAACUCCCUCCAAAUGAAGUUUGUUUCAAGUAGAUAAUAAUUAGAUAUAUAUAUAUAUUUAUAUCAAUUUAAAUCAACCUACGCAUAUUACAGUGGUUUAUACUGCUUUUUUAGUAAAUUAUAGUUUAUGAGGAUAUUUCAAUGAAAUACAAAAGCAACCAAAAUAAAUAUUUGGCAAAUAUUUUGCCCAUUUCUUUUAAGUUAAUUACUGAUACAUUAUUUAUAUUGCCUACCAAAAUAUCUAUUGGUGAACACUGAACAGUUUUGUGUAUUAUAACGACGGUCGUGAUGACGUUUAAGAACUGCAAACGCGAAUCAUUGAUUUGUCCACAGUUACCCCUCUGGGAAAGAUAGCACCUGUUUACGAACACACAAAAUAUAUAGUAAAGCACUUUAUAGACGCGCAGCGUUCGAUGUUAAAGUAAAUAUACGUGCCAUUCUAUCAAACGUAAUAUUCUUCAAUUUAAAACCAU